CUCUUCUUUCUCACUUGUCAAUCCCAACACAGUUCUACAACCUUCUGUGGCAAAAUCCCAAUUCAGAGUCCCUUUCUGAGUUCAAAUUCAACUGUUCCAUCCCCAUUAAAAUCACAUGAUACUAUGCAGAUCUCAGAAGCUGUUCUUCAGAACCUCUCUUGGUCUUUUCCCAGUUUCUUCAGUAGACUACACAACUAAAACAUUAAUCAUUUCUCACCCUUCUUGCUCUUCUUCUCGGCACUUUGUCUCUCCUGCUCUUCUGUCUGCUGGUUUUCCUACUCCUCCAAAGCCUAACUCACUUCUUCUCUUCAACUGCUCAACCAAAAUUUAUCCAAUGACAUCAUUUAAAGGUAACAACACUAGCUUGAAGGGUUGUGCAGCUUCAUCUGAAACUCAACAACUUGAAGGCCCUUAUUCAUGUCUACUUGUUAAUGAUGUUGAAAAGCUCGACAAGGGUUUUCAUCCAAAAGAUUUGAAUUGUUCACAUUACAGCAGGGUGUAUAGAAGUUCUUCAAAUGAUGAUUACAACAAGGAAUAUGAAUUGGGGACAAGGAUAUCCUUCGACAUUCCUGAUCAUGUGCCAGAUAUCUGCAAUGAAUGCGGAAAGCCUAAUGGAAAUUGUGGAGUGGGAUUGAGAUGUAUAUGCCACCCUAAAGAGUGUAGAGAUAA
rnacentral:misc_RNA from 1 species